rnacentral:rRNA from 1 species
AUUGAACGCUGGCGGCAGGCUUAACACAUGCAAGUCGAGCGAGCGGCGGACGGGUGAGUAAUGUCUGGGAAACUGCCUGAUGGAGGGGGAUAACUACUGGAAACGGUAGCUAAUACCGCAUACCAUCAGAUGUGCCCAGAUUGGAUUAGCUAGUAGGUGGGGUAAUGGCUCACCUAGGCGACGAUCCCUACCUGGUCUGAGAGGCUGGCCAGCCACACUGUAACUGAGACACGGUCCAGACACUGACGUGAGGCAGCAGUGGGGAAUAUUGCAAAAUGGGCGCAAGCCUUAUGCAGCCAUGCCGCGUGUGGGAAGAAGGCCUUCGGGUUGAAAAGCACUUUCAGCGAGGAGGCGUUACUCGCAGAAGAAGCACCGGCUAACUCCGUGCCAGCAGCCGCGGUAAUAC